UGCUCUUCUAGUAUACUAAUUACAACUGACUUCCAAUCUUUAAAAUCUGGUUCCAACCCAGAGAAGAGCAA
rnacentral:tRNA from 1 species